GAACAUAAAACACACGGCUAAAGGCGUUACAUCCUGCGGCAACGCCUUUAUGACCAACAUCCUGUGAG
rnacentral:sRNA from 1 species